rnacentral:rRNA from 1 species
UACGGGGGGGGUAAGCGUUGUUCGGAAUUACUGGGCGUAAAGGGCUCGUAGGCGGCCAACUAAGUCAUACGUGAAAUCCCUCAGCUUAACUGGGGAACUGCGUGUGAUACUGGAUGGCUUGGAUUUGGGAGAGGGAUGCGGAAUUCCAGGUGUAGCGGUGAAAUGCGUAGAUAUCUGGAGGAAGGCCGGUGGCGAAGGCGGCGCUCUGGAACAUUUCUGACGCUGAGGCUCGAAAGCGUGGGGAGCAAACAGG